GACGAACGCUGGCGGCGUGCUUAACACAUGCAAGUCGAACGGAAAGGCCCUGCUUUUGUGGGGUGCUCGAGUGGCGAACGGGUGAGUAACACGUGAGUAACCUGCCCUUGACUUUGGGAUAACUUCAGGAAACUGGGGCUAAUACCGGAUAGGAGCUCCUGCUGCAUGGUGGGGGUUGGAAAGUUUCGGCGGUUGGGGAUGGACUCGCGGCUUAUCAGCUUGUUGGUGGGGUAGUGGCUUACCAAGGCUUUGACGGGUAGCCGGCCUGAGAGGGUGACCGGCCACAUUGGGACUGAGAUACGGCCCAGACUCCUACGGGAGGCGGCAGUGGGGAAUAUUGCACAAUGGGCGGAAGCCUGAUGCAGCAACGCCGCGUGCGGGAUGACGGCCUUCGGGUUGUAAACCGCUUUCGCCUGUGACGAAGCGUGAGUGACGGUAAUGGGUAAAGAAGCACCGGCUAACUACGUGCCAGCAGCCGCGGUGAUACGUAGGGUGCGAGCGUUGUCCGGAUUUAUUGGGCGUAAAGGGCUCGUAGGUGGUUGAUCGCGUCGGAAGUGUAAUCUUGGGGCUUAACCCUGAGCGUGCUUUCGAUACGGGUUGACUUGAGGAAGGUAGGGGAGAAUGGAAUUCCUGGUGGAGCGGUGGAAUGCGCAGAUAUCAGGAGGAACACCAGUGGCGAAGGCGGUUCUCUGGGCCUUUCCUGACGCUGAGGAGCGAAAGCGUGGGGAGCGAACAGGCUUAGAUACCCUGGUAGUCCACGCUGUAAGCGGUGGGUACUAGGUGUGGGGUCCAUUCCACGGGUUCCGUGCCGUAGCUAACGCUUUAAGUACCCCGCCUGGGGAGUACGGCCGCAAGGCUAAAACUCAAAGGAAUUGACGGGGCCCCGCACAAGCGGCGGAGCAUGCGGAUUAAUUCGAUGCAACGCGUAGAACCUUACCUGGGUUUGACAUGGAUCGGGAGUGCUCAGAGAUGGGUGUGCCUCUUUUGGGGUCGGUUCACAGGUGGUGCAUGGCUGUCGUCAGCUCGUGUCGUGAGAUGUUGGGUUAAGUCCCGCAACGAGCGCAACCCUUGUUCACUGUUGCCAGCACGUUAUGGUGGGGACUCAGUGGAGACCGCCGGGGUCAACUCGGAGGAAGGUGGGGAUGACGUCAAGUCAUCAUGCCCCUUAUGUCCAGGGCUUCACGCAUGCUACAAUGGCUGGUACAGAGAGUGGCGAGCCUGUGAGGGUGAGCGAAUCUCGGAAAGCCGGUCUCAGUUCGGAUUGGGGUCUGCAACUCGACCUCAUGUAGUCGGAGUCGCUAGUAAUCGCAGAUCAGCAACGCUGCGGUGAAUACGUUCCCGGGGCUUGUACACACCGCCCGUCAAGUCAUGAAAGUUGGUAACACCCGAAGCCGGUGGCCUAACCGUUGUGGGGGAGCCGUCGAAGGUGGGACUGGUGAUUAGGACU
rnacentral:rRNA from 1 species